ensembl:Mt_tRNA
AUCUUUCUAGUAUUAAUAUAGUAUAAGUGACUUCCAAUCACCCGGUCUUGGUUUAAGCCCAAGGAAAGAUA